GAAAUGCGAUAAGUAAUGUGAAUUGCAGAAUUCAGUGAAUCAUCGAAUCUUUGAACGCACAUUGCGCCCGCCAGUAUUCUGGCGGGCAUGCCUGUUCGAGCGUCAUUUCAACCAUCAAGCCCCCGGCUUGUGUUGGGGACCUGCGGCUGCCCGCAGGCCCUGAAAAACAGUGGCGGGCUCGCUGUCACACCGAGCGUAGUAGCAUACAUUCUCGCUCAGGGCGUGCCGCGGGUUCCGGCCGUUAAACGACCUUCAUAACCCAAGGUUGACCUCGGAUCAGGUAGGAAGACCCGCUGAACUUAAGC
rnacentral:misc_RNA from 1 species